rnacentral:rRNA from 1 species
UACGGGGGGGGGCAAGCGUUGUUCGGAAUUACUGGGCGUAAAGGGCUCGUAGGCGGCCAACUAAGUCAGACGUGAAAUCCCUCGGCUUAACCGGGGAACUGCGUCUGAUACUGGAUGGCUUGAGUUUGGGAGAGGGAUGCGGAAUUCCUGGUGUAGUGGUGAAAUACGUAGAUAUCAGGAGGAACUCCGGUGGCGAAGGCGGCAUCUGCCAACAUUGACACUGAGACCCGAAAGCGUGGGGAUCAAACAG